rnacentral:rRNA from 1 species
UACAGAGGUCCCGAGCGUUGUUCGGAUUCACUGGGCGUAAAGGGUGCGUAGGUGGUGAGGUAAGUCGGAUGUGAAAUCUCCAGGCUCAACCUGGAAACUGCAUUGGAAACUACCUUGCUGGAGGAUUUGAGGGGGGAUUGGAAUACUUGGUGUAGCAGUGAAAUGCGUAGAUAUCAAGUGGAACACCAGUGGCGAAGGCGGCAUCCUGGACCGGCAUUGACGCUGAGGCGCGAAAGCUAGGGGAGCAAACGGG